rnacentral:rRNA from 1 species
GGGUCAUUAGGCCGGUCGUGCCACCGGUACGUACUGGUCUCACUGAUUCCUCCUUCCUGAAGAACCGUAAUGCCAUUAAUUUGGUGUUGCGGGGAAACAGGACUGUUACUUUGAAGAAAUUAGAGUGUUUAAAGCAAGCUAACGCUUGAAUACAUUAGCAUGGAAUAAUGAAAUAGGACGAUCGAUCCUAUUUUGUUGGUUUCUAGGAUUGACGUA